UGUGGGAGCGGGCUUGCCCGCGAAGGCGUCGGCACAUUCAGCAUCCAAUACGUCUGAAAGUCCGCCAUCGCGGGCAAGCCCGCUCCCACA
rnacentral:misc_RNA from 1 species